UACAGAGGGUGCGAGCGUUGUUCGGAAUUAUUGGGCGUAAAGGGCGCGUAGGCGGCGCGGUAAGUCACCUGUGAAAUCUCCUGGCUCAACUGGGAGCUUGCAGGCGAAACUGCCGUGCUGGAGUGUGGGAGAGGUGCGUGGAAUUCCUGGUGUAGCGGUGAAAUGCGUAGAUAUCGAGAGGAACACCUGCGGCGAAGGCGGGUAGCUGGGCCGACACUGACGCUGAGGCGCGAAAGCCAGGGGAGCGAACGGG
rnacentral:rRNA from 1 species